rnacentral:rRNA from 2 species
CGCGGCCUAUCAGCUUGUUGGUGGGGUAGUGGCCUACCAAGGCGGCGACGGGUAGCCGGCCUGAGAGGGUGACCGGCCACAUUGGGACUGAGAUACGGCCCAGACUCCUACGGGAGGCAGCAGUGGGGAAUAUUGCACAAUGGGCGCAAGCCUGAUGCAGCAACGCCGCGUGCGGGAUGACGGCCUUCGGGUUGUAAACCGCUUUCAGCAGGGACGAAGCUUUUUGUGACGGUACCUGCAGAAGAAGCACCGGCUAACUACGUGCCAGCAGCCGCGGUGAUACGUAGGGUGCGAGCGUUGUCCGGAUUUAUUGGGCGUAAAGGGCUCGUAGGCGGUUGAUCGCGUCGGAAGUGGAAACUUGAUGCUUAACGUUGAGCGUGCUUUCGAUACGGGUUGACUUGAGGAAGGUAGGGGAGAAUGGAAUUCCUGGUGGAGCGGUGGAAUGCGCAGAUAUCAGGAGGAACACCAGUGGCGAAGGCGGUUCUCUGGACCUUUCCUGACGCUGAGGAGCGAAAGCGUGGGGAGCGAACAGGCUUAGAUACCCUGGUAGUCCACGCUGUAAACGGUGGGUACUAGGUGUGGGGUCCAUUCCACGGAUUCUGUGCCGUAGCUAACGCAUUAAGUACCCCGCCUGGGGAGUACGG